rnacentral:tRNA from 1 species
UUUGACAUUCUUAUUUAGAGUCUGUGUUUCGGCCACAGAAUCGGAAGUUCAAUUACUUCUGUCAAAU